ncrna:unclassified sequences L13-Bacteroidia ribosomal protein leader
GGGGCACACUUAGAACCCCGCGAGCGAUGGUGUUAAUAGUCAUGCGUUUGGCCGCGCAGACGGUUAGUGAAUC